rnacentral:misc_RNA from 1 species
GAUGAAGAACGUAGCGAAAUGCGAUAAGUAAUGUGAAUUGCAGAAUUCAGUGAAUCAUCGAAUCUUUGAACGCACCUUGCGCCCUUUGGCCAUUCCGAAGGGCAUGCCUGUUUGAGUAUCAUGAACACCUCAACUCUUCAUGGUUUUCCAUGAUGAGCUUGGACUUUGGGGGUCUUGCUGGCCUGUGGGUCGGCUCCUCUCAAAUGAAUCAGCUUGCCGGUUUUUGGUGGGCAUCACAGGUGUGAUAACUAUCUACGCUUGUGGUUUUCCACCAGGGUAACCUUCAGCAGUGGAGGUUCACUGGAGCUUACAAAUGUCUCUCCUCUGUGAGGACAGCCCUUUGAAUGUUUGAUCUCAAAUCAGGUAGGACUACCCGCUGAACUUAAGCAUAUCAUAAGCGGAGGA